AUGAUGCAAAAUAAAGUAAAAUGUAGCAGUCUGCUCGUUGGAGCGACUCCCCGCCGCCGCCCGGGCCCGCGCGCUCCUCUGCCCGGCCCCACACCGCGGGUCGACGUGAUCCGCUGCAGCCUGGCCUGCGAGCGCUGCCGCUGGAUCCUGACCCUGCUCCUACUCAGCGCCAUCGCCUUUGACAUCAUAGCCCUGGCCGGCCGCGGCAGGCGGCAGUCAAGCGACCACGUCCAGACGUCCUUGCUAUGGUGGAGAUGUUUCCACGAGGGCAGCGACGGCAGCGGGUCCUAAGAGGAUGGCUGCUAGAGCCUCAUGGAGUACGCGUUGGGUAGAGCAGCAGCUGCCAUGCUCUUCUGGGGCUUCAGCAUCCUGGUGAUCUGUUUCAUCCUCUCCUUCUUCUUCAUCCUGUGUGUACCCCAGAUGCUUGUCUUCCUAAGAGUGAUUGGAGGUCUCUUUGUCUUGGCUGCUGUGUUCCAGAUCAUCUCCCUGGUAAUUUACCCCGUGAAGUACACCCCAACCUUCAACCUUCAGGCCAGCCCUUGCUGUCACUUACAUCUAUAACUGGCCCUACGGCUAUGGGUGGGCAGCCACGAUUAUCCUCAUCAGCUGUGCUUUCUUCUGCUACUGCCUCCCCAACAAUGAAGAUGACCUCCUGAGCAAUACCAAGCCUAGGGACUUCUACACAUCCGCCUAACUUGGGAAUGAGCGUGGGAGAAAAUCGCCACUGCCAAGAUGGAUUCCAGAAAAAGAAACUGUUUGUCUAGGCUACUUUGAACCUAGUUUUUGGCAGUGUUCAUAGUCAAAAAUGCUAAAAUAAUUUGGGAGAAAAUGUUUUUAAAAUAGUGCUAUAGUUUUAUGUUCACCUUUUAUUAUGUUUGGUGAAGUUGUGUAUUUUCACUAAUUACCUAUAUUAUGCCAAUAUUUCCUUAUAUCUACCCAUAACAUUGAUGCUACAUUUGUAAGAUAAUAUGAACAUGAAACUUAACACUUUAUAAGGUAAAAAUGAGAUGGUUUCCAAGAUUUAAUAAUCCGAUCAAGUUCUUGUUAUUUCCAAAUAGAAUGAACUGGGUCUGUUAAGGGCUAAGGAGAAGAGGAAGGUAAUGGUAAAAAUUGUCAAUGACUGGCUGGGUGUGGUGACUCAAGCUUGUAAUCUCAGCACUUUGGGAGGCUGAGACAGGCCGAUCACCUGAGGUCACGAGUUCAAGACCAGCCUGGCAAACAUGGUGAAACCCUGUCUCUACUGAAAAUACAAAAAUUAGCCGGGCGUGGUGGCACAUGCCUGUAAUCCCAGCUACUGGGGAGGCUGAGGCAGGAGAAUCGCUUGAACCGGAGAGGUAGAGGUUGCAGUGAACUGAGAUCGUUGCAUUGCACUCCAGCCUGGGCAACAGAGCAAGACUCUGUCUCAAAACAAACAAAAAUUGUCAAUGACCAAACAUUCUGAAAGAAAUGCCAAAAAAAGCUUUUUUUUUUUCAAGACUUCAAACGAUUUAAAGAAGCAAAAUAGUUUCCUAAAUGCAUAUUGUUUGUGAGAAUUUCUCACUAAUAUCCUGAAUAAUUCUUUUUUUUUUGAGAGAGAGAGUCUUGCUCUGUCGCCCAGGCUGGAGUGCAGUGGCAUGA